rnacentral:ncRNA from 2 species
UUGGAGAACGGAGUGUCAGGAAGACGCCGUCAGCGUCGGGGAAGAUGGUGCAACUCCAUCACGGUGCCGCCACUGUAAACGGGGAGUGACCCUGCAGCGAGCCACUGGCACGUUGUGCCGGGAAGGCGCAGGGAAGCGAUGAGCCGUAAGUCAGGAGACUCAACUGACGGCUGUUACGACU